CCCAUUGCUACGAAGGGCUAUAUAGCAUAAACAUUUGAGUCUUCAUUGCACAAUGUCGACCUCUUCCAUUAACGGGUGGUGCCUCUCUUCCAUCUCCCCAGCCAAAACCUCUCUCAAGAAGGCCACAUUAGGCCCUUCUGUCUUCGCAACCGUUAGCACUCCUUCUUCUCCUUCUUCUUCUUCUUCUUCUUCCUUCCCUUCUCUCAUUCAAGACAGGCCUGUCUUUGCUGCCCCUGCCCCCAU
rnacentral:lncRNA from 1 species